CCUACGGGCGGCUGCAGUGAGGAAUAUUGGUCAAUGGACGAGAGUCUGAACCAGCCACGUCGCGUGAAGGAUGACUGCCCUAUGGGUUGUAAACUUCUUUUAUAAAGGAAUAAAACGCGGCACGUGUGCCUUUUUGCAUGUCCUUUAUGAAUAAGGCUCGGCUAACUCCGUGCCAGCAGCAGCGGUAAUACGGAGGAUCCGAGCGUUAUCCGGAUUUAUUGGGUUUAAAGGGAGCGUAGAUGGGUUGUUAAGUCAGUUGUGAAAGUUUGCGGCUCAACCGUAAAAUUGCAAUUGAUACUGGCAGGCUUGAGUACAGGUGAGGUAAGCGGAAUUCGUGGUGUAGCGGUGAAAUGCGUAGAUAUCACGAAGAACCCCGAUGGCGAAGGCAGCUUACUAAACUGUGACUGACAUUGAUGCUCGAAAGUGUGGGUAGCAAACAGGAUUAGAUACCCUAGUAGUC
rnacentral:rRNA from 1 species